GACGAACGCUGGCGGCGUGCUUAACACAUGCAAGUCGAACGGAAAGGCCCGGCUUUUGUGGGGUGCUCGAGUGCCGAACGGGUGAGUAUCACGUGAGUAACCUGCCCUUGACUUUGGGAUAACUUCAGGAAACAGGGGCGAUUACCGCACAUGAGCUCUUGCUGCACGGUGGGGGUGGGAAAAUUUCGGCGGUUGGGGAUGGACUCGCGGCUUAUCGUCUUGUUGGUGGGGUAGUGGCUUACCAAGGCUUUGACGGGUAGCCGGCCUGAGAGGGUGACCGGCCACAUUGGGACUGAGAUACGGCCCAGACUCCUACGGGAGGCAGCAGUGGGGGAUAUUGCACGAUGGGCGGAAGCCUGAUGCAGCAACGCCGCGUGCGGGAUGACGGCCGUCGGGUUGUAAACCGCUUUCGCCUGUGACGAAGCGUGAGUGACGGUAAUGGGUAAAGAAGCAACGGCUAACUACGUG
rnacentral:rRNA from 1 species